rnacentral:tRNA from 1 species
GGUGGCUCAGUGAUAGAGCAUUUGCCUUGCAUGCAUGAGGCCCUGGGUUCGAUUCCUCGGCACCA